rnacentral:rRNA from 1 species
GAGGAAUAAGCAUCGGCUAACUCCGUGCCAGCAGCCGCGGUAAUACGGGGGAUGCAAGCGUUAUCCGGAAUCAUUGGGCGUAAAGCGCCUGUAGGUUGUUUAAUAAGUCUGUUGUUAAAGACUGGGGCUUAACCCCAGGAAAGCAAUGGAAACUACUAGACUAGAGUAUGGUAGGGGUAAAGGGAAUUUCUAGUGUAGCGGUGAAAUGCGUAGAUAUUAGAAAGAACACCGGUGGCGAAAGCGCUUUACUGGACCAUUACUGACACUCAGAGGCGAAAGCUAGGGUAGCCAAAGGGAUUAGAUACCCCUGUAGUCCUAGCCGUAAACGAUGGAUACUAGAUGUUGCGCUUAUUGUGCAGUGUCGUAGCUAACGCGUUAAGUAUCCCGCCUGGGGAGUACGAUCGCAAGGUUGAAACUCAAAGGAAUUGACGGGGGCCCGCACAAGCGGUGGAGCAUGUGGUUUAAUUCGAUGCAACGCGAAGAACCUUACCAGGGCUUGACAUACUGCAAAUUUCUUUGAAAGAGAAAAGUGCCUUCGGGAAUGCAGAUACAGGUGGUGCAUGGCUGUCGUCAGCUCGUGUCGUGAGAUGUUGGGUUAAGUCCCGCAACGAGCGCAACCCUCGUUUUUAGUUGCCAUUUUAUGGGUUCUCUAGAAAGACUGCCGGUGACAAACCGGAGGAAGGUGGGGAUGACGUCAAGUCAGCAUGCCCCUUAUGCCCUGGGCUACACACGUGCUACAAUGGCUAAGACAAAGAGUCGCGAAUUCGCGAGAAUCAGCUAAUCUCAUAAACUUAGUCUAAGUUCAGAUUGUAGGCUGCAACUCGCCUGCAUGAAG